rnacentral:misc_RNA from 1 species
UACGUAGGGGGCAAGCGCUGCUCGGAAUUACUGGGCGUAAAGGGAGUGUAGGUGGCUGAGCAAGUCAAAGAUGAAAUCCCGAGGCUCAACUUCGGAAUUGUUUUUGAAACUGUUCAGCUUGAGGAUAGUCGAGGAGAACGGAAUUCCCGGUGGAGCGGUGAAAUGCGUUGAUAUCGGGAGGAACACCAGAGGCGAAGGCGGUUCUCUGGGCUAUUCCUGACACUGAAACACGAAAGCUAGGGGAGCAAACGGG